UACGUAGGUGGCGAGCGUUGUCCGGAAUUAUUGGGCGUAAAGGGCGCGUAGGCGGAAAGAUAAGUCUGACUUAAAAGUGCGGGGCUCAACCCCGUGAGGGGUCGGAAACUAUCUUUCUUGAGUGCAGGAGAGGAAAGUGGAAUUCCCAGUGUAGCGGUGAAAUGCGUAGAUAUUGGGAGGAACACCAGUGGCGAAGGCGACUUUCUGGACUGUAACUGACGCUGAGGCGCGAAAGCCAGGGUAGUGAACG
rnacentral:rRNA from 1 species